rnacentral:rRNA from 1 species
GAUGAACGCUGGCGGCGUGCCUAAUACAUGCAAGUCGAGCGAACAGAUGAGGAGCUUGCUCCUCUGACGUUAGCGGCGGACGGGUGAGUAACACGUGGAUAACCUACCUAUAAGACUGGGAUAACUUCGGGAAACCGGAGCUAAUACCGGAUAAUAUAUUGAACCGCAUGGUUCAAUAGUGAAAGACGGUUUUGCUGUCACUUAUAGAUGGAUCCGCGCCGCAUUAGCUAGUUGGUAAGGUAACGGCUUACCAAGGCGACGAUGCGUAGCCGACCUGAGAGGGUGACCGGCCACACUGGAACUGAGACACGGUCCAGACUCCUACGGGAGGCAGCAGUAGGGAAUCUUCCGCAAUGGGCGAAAGCUUGACGGAGCAACGCCGCGUGAGUGAUGAAGGUCUUCGGAUCGUAAAACUCUGUUAUUAGGGAAGAACAAAUGUGUAAGUAACUACGCACGUCUUGACGGUACCUAAUCAGAAAGCCACGGCUAACUACGUG